rnacentral:rRNA from 1 species
GCGAACGCUGGCGGCAGGCCUAACACAUGCAAGUCGAACGAACCUUUCGGGGUUAGUGGCGGACGGGUGAGUAACACGUGGGAACGUGCCUUUAGGUUCGGAAUAACUCAGGGAAACUUGUGCUAAUACCGAAUGUGCCCUUCGGGGGAAAGAUUAAUCGCCUUUAGAGCGGCCCGCGUCUGAUUAGCUAGUUGGUUGAGGUAAUGGCUCACCAAGGCGACGAUCAGUAGCUGGUCUGAGAGGAUGAUCAGCCACAUUGGGACUGAGACACGGCCCAAACUCCUACGGGAGGCAGCAGUGGGGAAUCUUGCGCAAUGGGCGAAAGCCUGACGCAGCCAUGCCGCGUGAAUGAUGAAGGUCUUAGGAUUGUAAAAUUCUUUCACCGGGGAUGAUAAUGACGGUACCCGGAGAAGAAGCCCCGGCUAACUUCGUG